UGCGGCUGGAUCACCUCCUUACCUAAAGAUACGCAUUGUGCAGUGUCCACACAGAUUGUCUGAUAGAAAGUAACGAGCAGAAAUACCU
rnacentral:rRNA from 2 species